rnacentral:rRNA from 1 species
AGUGAACGCUGGCGGUAGGCCUAACACAUGCAAGUCGAACGGCAGCACAGAGGAGCUUGCUCCUUGGGUGGCGAGUGGCGGACGGGUGAGGAAUACAUCGGAAUCUACUCUGUCGUGGGGGAUAACGUAGGGAAACUUACGCUAAUACCGCAUACGACCUACGGGUGAAAGCAGGGGACCUUCGGGCCUUGCGCGAUUGAAUGAGCCGAUGUCGGAUUAGCUAGUUGGCAGGGUAAAGGCCCACCAAGGCGACGAUCCGUAGCUGGUCUGAGAGGAUGAUCAGCCACACUGGAACUGAGACACGGUCCAGACUCCUACGGGAGGCAGCAGUGGGGAAUAUUGGACAAUGGGCGCAAGCCUGAUCCAGCCAUACCGCGUGGGUGAAGAAGGCCUUCGGGUUGUAAAGCCCCUUUGUUGGGAAAGAAAUCCAGCUGGCUAAUACCCGGUUGGGAUGACGGUACCCAAAGAAUAAGCACCGGCUAACUUCGUGCCAGCCGCCGCUGUAA